rnacentral:rRNA from 1 species
CCUACGGGGGUCAGCAGUAGGGAAUAUUGCUCAAUGGGGGAAACCCUGAACCAGCAACGCCGCGUGGAGGAUGAAGGUUUUCGGAUUGUAAACUCCUUUUGUUAGAGGAGAUAAUGACGGUAUGUAACGAAUAAGCACCGUCUAACUCCGUGCCAGCUGCCGCGGUAAUACGGAGGGUGCAAGCGUUACUCGGAGUCACUGGGCGUAAAGGGCGCGUAGGCGGGUUAGCAAGUCAGAUGUGAAAUCCUAUGGCUUAACCAUAAAACUGCAUUUGAAACUGUAAUUCUUGAGUAUAGGAGAGGUAGGUGGAAUUCGUGGUGUAGGGGUAAAAUCCGUAGAGAUCAAGAAGAAUACUCAUUGCGAAGGCGACCUGCUAGAAUAUAACUGACGCUGAUGCGCGAAAGCGUGGGGAGCAAACAGGAUUAGAUACCCCUGUAGUC